AAUUAAGAAACGUUGAAAAAGUGUUACUUUGCCAACGUUAAUAAAACGUUGUUUUGACAAUGUUGAGGAAGUGGCACAUUGAAAAUUAUUGUCUCAAUAACUAGCCAUUACAAAAAUAAAUUGCCGUAAUGGAAAGGCAAGGAAAACUUGAUAGAAUGCAUGCAUAUGGUUUGAAGCAGAGGCAGUUGUUCCAUCUUGUUCGAAAAAAGAUGGAUGGUUAUUUUGGUCAACUUGUGUUCAUGCAAUGAAAGCUACCUAUAAUAAUUUUUCGAUCAUUGACUCAUGCAACAAACUUAGACUUAAAAGAGUUAAAGUAACUCAAGAUAAAGAAGUAUGUGCAGGAUUUAAUUUCACAACUAAAGAGGACUCCGAAGAAGAAUUAAAGUUCUGGUAGAUCAAAGAUCGAGGAAUGAUUUGGUUUUAACUGAUUUGCAUCUUAUGAACGAAGUACAUAAUUUGAUUUAAAUUAAUGAUUUAUAGUUACACCUAUUGAAGUAAGUUUUAU